UGGGGAAUAUUGCACAAUGGGCGCAAGCCUGAUGCAGCCAUGCCGCGUGUGUGAAGAAGGCCUUCGGGUUGUAAAGCACUUUCAGCGGGGAGGAAGGCGAUAAGGUUAAUAACCUUGUCGAUUGACGUUACCCGCAGAAGAAGCACCGGCCAACUCCGUGCCAGCAGCCGCGGUAAUACGGAGGGUGCAAGCGUUAAUCGGAAUUACUGGGCGUAAAGCGCACGCAGGCGGUCUGUCAAGUCGGAUGUGAAAUCCCCGGGCUCAACCUGGGAACUGCAUUCGAAACUGGCAGGCUAGAGUCUUGUAGAGGGGGGUAGAAUUCCAGGUGUAGCGGUGAAAUGCGUAGAGAUCUGGGGGAAUACCGGUGGCGAAGGCGGCCCCCUGGACAAAGACUGACGCUCAGGUGCGAAAGAGUGGGGAGCAAACAGG
rnacentral:rRNA from 1 species